rnacentral:rRNA from 1 species
GGGCCGGAAAGCGUGGGGAUCGAUCAGAAUUAGAUAGCCCUUGGUAGUCCACGCGGUAAACUGAUGAAUGUUAGGGGUAGGGGGUAUCGACCCCUCCUGUGCCGGAGUAAACACAAUAAGCAUUCCGCCUGGGGAGUACGGCCGCAAGGUUGAAACUCAAAGGAAUUGACGGGGGCCCGCACAAGCAGCGGAGCAUGUGGUUUAAUUCGACGCAACGCGAAGAACCUUACCAGGUCUUGACAUCGAUGUAAUCCCCAACGAAAUUGGGAGUGGCUUCGGCCGACAGAAGACAGGUGGUGCAUGGUUGUCGUCAGCUCGUGUCGUGAGAUGUUGGGUUAAGUCCCGCAACGAGCGCAACCCUUAUGAUCAGUUACUAACGGGUGAUGCCGAGGACUCUCGCUGAGACUGCCGGGGACAACUCGGAGGAAGGUGGGCUCGACGUCAAAUCAUCAUGCCCCUUAUGACCUGGGCUACACACGUGCUACAAUGGUGAUAACAAAGAGGAGCGAAGGGGUAAGGCGGAGCGGAUCUCAAAAAAAUCAUCUCAGUUCGGAUUGUGUGUGCUGCAACCCGGGACACAUCAACGUUC